GAUGAAGAACGCAGCGAAAUGCGAUACGUAAUGUGAAUUGCAGAAUUCAGUGAAUCAUCGAAUCUUUGAACGCACAUUGCGCCCGCCAGCACUCUGGCGGGCAUGCCUGUCCGAGCGUCAUUUCAACCCUCAGGGCCCCUUCGGGGGACCUGGCGUUGGGGAUCGGCCCGCCCCCGUGCGGCGCCGUCCCCGAAAUAUAGUGGCGGUCUCGCUGCAGCCUCCCCUGCGUAGUAGCACACCUCGCACUGGAGAGCGGCGCGGCCACGCCGUGAAACCCCCAACUUCUGAAUGUUGACCUCGGAUCAGGUAGGAAUACCCGCUGAACUUAAGCAUAUCAAUAAGCGGAGGA
rnacentral:misc_RNA from 1 species